rnacentral:rRNA from 1 species
CAGCCGCCGCGGGAAUACGUAGGGUGCAAGCGUUAUCCGGAUUUAUUGGGUUUAAAGGGUCCGUAGGCGGAUCUGUAAGUCAGUGGUGAAAUCUCACAGCUUAACUGUGAAACUGCCAUUGAUACUGCAGGUCUUGAGUAAAUUUGAAGUGGCUGGAAUAAGUAGUGUAGCGGUGAAAUGCAUAGAUAUUACUUAGAACACCAAUUGCGAAGGCAGGUCACUAAGAUUUAACUGACGCUGAUGGACGAAAGCGUGGGGAGCGAACAGGAUUAGAGACCCCGGUAGUCCCUGUCUCUUAUAC